CAGUCGCGUUCUCUGGGAUUCAGCCUUGCUUCUUGCUUGGUGCAUUUCCUAGUCUACGGGCCAGCAUGAAUCUUGAGCGGUGGAAAAUGGCUGGAGGAAUGUAGCUUCGAUCUCGUAUUGAAGUGUUAUAGCCUUCGGUAGAUGUGAUGAUCGGGAUUGAGGAUUGCAACGGACCAAGGAGUCUAACAUGUAUGCGAGUGUU
rnacentral:rRNA from 1 species